GGGAUCGUAGCGGAGGACAUAUCGGUAAGCGGAGGAGCAUAUCAAUAAGCGGAGGAGCAUAUCAAUAAGCGGAGGACCCUAUCGCCGGGGGGCUUCUGCCCCCGGGUCCGCGCGCACCGGAGACACCAUUGAACUCUGUCUGAAGAUUGCAGUCUGAGCAUAAACUAAAUAAGUUAAAACUUUCAACAACGGAUCUCUUGGUUCCGGCAUCGAUGAAGAACGCAGCGAAAUGCGAUAACUAAUGUGAAUUGCAGAAUUCAGUGAAUCAUCGAGUCUUUGAACGCACAUUGCGCCCCCUGGUAUUCCGGGGGGCAUGCCUGUCCGAGCGUCAUUGCUGCCCUCAAGCACGGCUUGUGUGUUGGGCUCCGUCCCCCCGGGGACGGGUCCGAAAGGCAGCGGCGGCACCGAGUCCGGUCCUCGAGCGUAUGGGGCUUUGUCACCCGCUCUGUAGGCCCGGCCGGCGCCAGCCGACAACCAAUCAUCCUUUUUUCAGGUUGACCUCGGAUCAGGUAGGGAUACCCGCUGAACUUAAGCAUAUCAAUAAGCGGAGGAAA
rnacentral:rRNA from 1 species